rnacentral:rRNA from 1 species
AACGAACGCUGGCGGCAGGCUUAACACAUGCAAGUCGAGCGCCCCGCAAGGGGAGCGGCAGACGGGUGAGUAACGCGUGGGAAUCUACCCAUCUCUACGGAAUAACGCAUGGAAACGUGUGCUAAUACCGUAUACGUCCUUCGGGAGAAAGAUUUAUCGGAGAUGGAUGAGCCCGCGUUGGAUUAGCUAGUUGGUGGGGUAAAGGCCUACCAAGGCGACGAUCCGUAGCUGGUCUGAGAGGAUGAUCAGCCACACUGGGACUGAGACACGGCCCAGACUCCUACGGGAGGCAGCAGUGGGGAAUAUUGGACAAUGGGCGCAAGCCUGAUCCAGCCAUGCCGCGUGAGUGAUGAAGGCCCUAGGGUUGUAAAGCUCUUUCACCGGUGAAGAUAAUGGCGGUAACCGGAGAAGAAGCCCCGGCUAACUUCGUGCCAGCAGCCGCGGUAAUAC